rnacentral:pre_miRNA from 1 species
AAUGGGAUAGCUGGGUCAAAUGGUGGUUCCAUUCCAAGUUUUCUGAGGAAUCUCCAUACUGCUUUCCAUAGUAGUUGCACCAAUUUGCAGUCCCACCAGCAGU